GAUGAAGAACGUAGUGAAAUGCGAUAAGUAGUGUGAAUUGCAGAAUUCAGUGAAUCAUCGAAUCUUUGAACGCACAUUGCGCCCCUUGGUAUUCCAUGGGGCAUGCCUGUUCGAGCGUCAUUUGUACCCUCAAGCUUUGCUUGGUGUUGGGUGUUUGUCCCGCGCUCUUUUGCGCAAGACUCGCCUUAAAUCAAUUGGCAGCCGGCAUGUUAGCCUGGAGCGCAGCACAUUUUGCGCGCCUUGCUUGCUUGUGUUGGCCCCCAUCAAGUCCAUAUAUUUGCUCUUGACCUCGGAUCAGGUAGGGAUACCCGCUGAACUUAAGCAUAUCAAUAAGCGGAGGA
rnacentral:misc_RNA from 1 species